rnacentral:rRNA from 1 species
GACGAACGCUGGCGGCGUGCUUAACACAUGCAAGUCGAACGGAAAGGCCCUGCUUUUGUGGGGUGCUCGAGUGGCGAACGGGUGAGUAACACGUGAGUAACCUGCCCUUGACUUUGGGAUAACUUCAGGAAACUGGGGCUAAUACCGGAUAGGAGCUCCUGCCGCAUGGUGGGGGUUGGAAAGUUUCGGCGGUUGGGGAUGGACUCGCGGCUUAUCAGCUUGUUGGUGGGGUAGUGGCUUACCAAGGCUUUGACGGGUAGCCGGCCUGAGAGGGUGACCGGCCACAUUGGGACUGAGAUACGGCCCAGACUCCUACGGGAGGCAGCAGUGGGGAAUAUUGCACAAUGGGCGGAAGCCUGACGCAGCAACGCCGCGUGCGGGAUGACGGCCUUCGGGUUGUAAACCGCUUUCGCCUGUGACGAAGCGUGAGUGACGGUAAUGGGUAAAGAAGCACCGGCUAACUACGUG